rnacentral:rRNA from 1 species
GACGAACGCUGGCGGCGUGCUUAACACAUGCAAGUCGAACGGUGAAACUCUUCGGAGGGGAUCAUUGGCGAACGGGUGAGUAACACGUGGGCAACCUGCCCCCGGCUCUGGGAUAACUCCAAGAAUUUGGGGCUAAUACCGGAAGUUCACCUCUUCCCGCAUGGGUGGUGGUUAAAAGGGUUUACGGAUGCGGAUGGUCCCUCGGCCUAUCAGCCUGUUGGUAGGGGAGUGUCCGCCCAAGGCCACGAGGGGUAGCCGGCCGUAGAGGGGGACCGGGCUCACGGGGCCUGCGGCAGGCACCAGACUGCAACGGGAGGCAGCAGUGGGGAAUCUUGCGCAAUGGGGGGAAGCCAGACGCAGCGACGCCGGGUGGGGGAUGACGGGCUUCGGGUUGUAAACAUAUUUCAGCAGGGACGAGGAGAAAGUGACGGUACCUGCAGAAGAAGCACCGGCCAACUACGUG